UACAGAGGGUGCAAGCGUUAAUCGGAAUUACUGGGCGUAAAGGGCGCGUAGGCGGAUACAUAAGUUAGAGGUGAAAUACCCGGGCUUAACCUGGGAAUGGCUUAUAAGACUAUGUAACUAGAGUAGGGUAGAGGGGAGUAGAAUUCCCGGUGUAGCGGUGAAAUGCGUAGAUAUCGGGAAGAAUACCGGUGGCGAAGGCGCUCCCUGGACCUAUACUGACGCUGAGGCGCGAAAGCGUGGGGAGCAAACAGGG
rnacentral:rRNA from 1 species